CUCUUCCUGACUCCAGCUCUGCCCUUCUCCACUUCUCUUACUCUCCCUCUUCAAUUUGGGGCAAUGAAUUCAAUGUUGUAUUGGAUUGAAGAUUUCGUGGAUUGAAGAAUGAAACCUUGGUCAAAUUCUCUUGCUCUGGAAAUCUGGAGGCUUCUUUCUGUUUGUUUGUUUAAUUGUGAAUGGCAGUAUGGCACUAUGAUUCUAUGAAUUGGAACUACGAACUGGAAGUCUGGAACACAAAGGGAUUAACCGAUUAAGUGAAUGGCAAAAGCUUGAGUCUACUGCUUUCUGAGGUUUCUUUUCAUUGUGCAUCAGUGCAUAUAAAAUUGUGGCUUAUAUUGUGGUUUUUUGUUUUUGUUAAAUUAGUUAUUACGAAAAGUAAUUAAUUCAAAGUUAAUGUCUUAAUGUAUAGGUGUUAGAGUUUCUUGGUGAUUGUAUGGUCCUUCACAUUGAGAAGGAAUAUGCUGAAUCUAUUAACAAUGAAUCGGUGAUCAAAGAGUUUGAAGCAUGUGGAACUCGUAGAGUUAGAUUUAGUUAGUUUAGGUUCUUGUAUUGCAUUGCACGUUUAUUUUGUUGUUGAUUUUGUUUUUUAGUUUUGUAUAGAUAUGCAUUUGAGGGGUAAGGCUCACUACGUCCCCCUCUGACUAGGUGCACCUUCUUUUAAAAUUAAUAAAAUUCUCUCGGACCAUCGAGAUUCUCCAUAUAUAUAUAAUUUUUUUUUUUGUU